CGCCACGAACCUGUAGCUGCGCAGUUCAUGAGUUCACAUCAAAAUGGCGCUCGCUCACUCGCUGUGCGUAGAACGUAGUACUUGUGUAAACGUGUAAAUAAAUUGGAGAUAGCAUACAAGAAAACAGAAAGGGUUCGCGGUUCAACUUUUUUCUAACGGUUUCCUCGGCGUCCUUUACAAAGUCCAGUUGAUAUCGUGUCCUGUCCACGUCCAGGGUGGACCUGAUCUACAAAAUCUUGGAGCAGCCGCUUUCGUCGUAUGCCAUUAAAAAAAUUAAAACAUGCCCGUUAUUAAAAUUUGGUCAGUAGACCAAACAAUCAAGAAAGCUGUUCCAAUAAUGGACCCAACUUUAAAAAAUAUCAUUGAAAAAGGUGAGUAAAUCUAAAUUAAUUUGACUUUUCGUAAUGAAAUAUUUUUUGUGUAAUUGUAGAAUGUAGUGUAUUGUAGAAUAGACUAUAAUUGGAUACCUACUGUUAAGCAUUAAUGUGCUGACUCAAACCACAUUUAUUUUGCAGUAUGAUGUCAAUUUAAAAAUUUGACGCUUGAAGUUGACAAGAUAGAGCUGAUGCUGAACCCUGGCUGUACCUAGUGGAACUCAGGUUUGGUGCAACAUAGGCCCACGCUAUUUUGAUCAUCCGUCACAUAGAGGGAGAGCAAUACCCAAGAUAUAAUUCAUAAUCCAUUUUCUUCCAGAUGAGGUACCAUCCUAAAUAUAGUAGUUCCAUUUACUAAUCUUAUUAACUUUUUCUUUUCCAGGAACCAUUAACCAGGGUUCAAGUUGCAGAGCUAUCCGAAAUAGCUGCGCCUAACAUUGUAUUUUUAGAUAAUGAAAAUAUAAUUAUAUUACUUGCUGGUAGAAAAAACGAUUGUUAGCGAAACUGAGAUUCUGCCUACGUCGUUACAACUAUUGAUGGCGGCUUACUGCAACUUGAAUAUGGAAUAUCCAGUGGACUGUCAAAACACAUUAGAAUUUAUACAAAGGUAUAUUUUUAAAAUAAAUCCUAAAGAAGGAAGUCAUAAGUAAUAGUUUUUGAUUUUUAAAAAGCGUUUUUCAAUUAAAAGACAUGUCAAGAUCGCUUAACUUCUUGCAAGUUCUUUCUAAUGCUAAAAAAACUAACUAUAAUUAAUGUCAGUAACAAACAUUUUCAGACAAUUCGUUACUUGAAAUGGUAUAGGUUUCACGCAUUAGAUUCACAUAGGCCUUAUUAACCGAAACUUUUAUAAGACUAAUUCAUAAGAAGUACUUAUGUACAUAAGAUAUAAUUUAUAGUGUCGUAUAUGUCUUCUACUUUUUGUACUCUGUCACAGAAUAAAUAAUAAUAAUAUGCACGUAGACGUGUAUAUACGCGUGUGCUCUAUAAUUUUAGUGUGUGAAAAUCAAUAAAUUUAUUUCUUUGUAA